rnacentral:rRNA from 1 species
UACGAAGGGGGCUAGCGUUGUUCGGAAUCACUGGGCGUAAAGCGCACGUAGGCGGCCUGUUAAGUCGGAUGUGAAAGCCCCGGGCUCAACCCGGGAAGUGCAUACGAAACUGGCAGGCUUGAAUAUGGAAGAGGGUCGCGGAAUUCCCGGUGUAGAGGUGAAAUUCGUAGAUAUCGGGAGGAACACCAGUGGCGAAGGCGGCGACCUGGGCCAAUAUUGACGCUGAGGCGCGAAAGCGUGGGGAGCAAACAGG